AAGGCUCUUGCUGCUACUCCUGAUGAGCUGAGCUCAUCCCCUGGGAUCUACGUGGCAGAAGGAGAGGAGACUCCUGAAAUUGUCCUGAUGUUUACACAUAUAUAUGGUGUGUGUGCUCCUGGGCAUGAAUGCAUGUAUACUCACAAGAAUAAUAAUGAAGAAAUGUGCUAUUUUAAAGUUAAGAAUUAUAGACAUUUAAUUUUAUAUAUUAAGAAUGGGAAAUGGUCCCAUUUUCAUUUUGCAAAUUUUUUAAAUAAAGUUGGGGGUGGAGGCAUGCUGUGUAGGUGGGAGGAUCAGGGUUUAGAUUCUCAGCCCUCUGGCUUCCACAUGCACUCCUGGAUAGAGGCUCCUGAAUGCACAGGUUACACACACCCUGCUCACCCUGCACAAAGCCAUGAGCUCAAUGUUAAGUCUUUGUAUUUAUUUUACAUUAAAAAUCCAUUGUCUGAGACUAGCACGGUUGUACAUGCCUUUAAUCCCAGAAGCAGGCAGAUCUCUUAAGUUCAAGCCAGCCUGGUCUACAUAGCAAGUCCCAGGCCAGCCAAAGCUAUGUAGUAACACCCAACCUCCAAACAAGAGUGAAAACAAUGCAAUCUAAUGCGCAUCUAGCACUUGAGAUGGAUUCCUCAAAUGUAUAAUUCUGUGAAAUCAAGCUUUCGUCAUGCAGGAAAUGGACUUUAUUUAUUAUGCCAAAAAAUAACUUUUGUUAAUAACUCUGAUUCCUCAACCCAGUACUGAGACACUCUAAAGCUUGGGGGGAGGGGUAGUGAUACAAGCUUUCCCAAAUUCUAAGUUCCUGUUUGUUUAGAUUCUCACACUGUAGCCCAUUCUAGCCACAAACUCAUGGUAAUCCUCCUACCUCAGCCUCCUGAAGUGCUGGCAUUAGAGGGAUGAGCCACCAUGCCUGACUUUCUAAUUUAAAUUUUUGAUUGAAAGCUUGAAUUUUUAUUGUUGGCCACAAAUACUUGAAGGUUUUUCUUGAAGUAAUGGGCUUAUUUUGUUUGUUUAUUCUUUUGAGGAAACGUCUGCUGAUAUUCUUGUCUAAAUAACAACGACAUUCUUUCAAGGUAAAACUGGCACUGUAUGGAAUAAAAACUAGACACUCCCUUAACUUAAUGCUUCCAAUGCCAAGUAGAGACAGUCGGGUUGUGGGGAGCAGAGACACUGGACUCAGUGGCCACAGAUUCCAGCUUCCUGAACCUGGCUCUCCUGCCCUGGGAUGUGCACACUACAGCUGGGUUCCUGUGAGCCAUCCCUCGCUGUAGAGGCUCUGGGCUCACUGAAGAGUGAAACAGUUAUCUAGAAAUCUUUUUGGCGAGAAACAAAAUCAACAGAAUCACUAGAAUUUUUUCCUUCAUGUUUUGCUGUAGACUAACUCUGUACCCCAGAGGCUCUGAAAUGUAAUCUGAGGUGAGUGGGAACAACUAGCUGCUGCCCAGGGAAUCUGAGUUUAAGAAUUAGUUCCCUGAGCCUUUGUGAACAAGAAAAUACUGCAUGUUUUCAUUCGCUUGAUGGCCAUGUUUUUGUUGAGAAAUAACAAUACAGCCUGGAGAACAGCAUGUUGAAAGCCUGGGCUCCCAGACUAAAGACAUAGGGACCAUGUUUGCCAGGAUUGAGAAGUAAUGGGCACUGCAGUUAGAAGGAUCCCUGAGCCAGAGCUUUCUUAGCUGUGGCAUUAAUUAAAGGAAUUGUGACAUCUCUUAGGUCUUGGGCGUCUUACCACCCUUAACAAUGAAAACAGAGAUAUGGGCUGGCAAGAGGGUUCAGCAGGAAAGAUUCAUACUGCCAAGGCUAAUGACCUUAGUUGAGUUCUUGGACCCACAUAGUAGAAAGAGAAAUUGCUCCUGAAAGUUGUUCUCUGACCGUCACCCAUGUGCCAUUGUGUACAUGUACCUGCACAUUGCAUGUACGCACUUAUGCACACACGUGUGUGCACGCACACAUACACACACACUCAAUAUAGUUUCAGAGUGAAAAGCUGGAGAGGUGGCUCAGUGGUUAAGAGCAUGAACUACUCUUGCAAAGGCCCUGAGUUUGAUUCCCAGGACCCAUUUUAGGAUGGCUCAUAUAACUGCCUAUAAAUUACCUCCAGUAAUUCUGGCUGCCAAAAGUACCUGUAAACACAUAGGCAUAAUUAAAAAUAAUAAAAAC
rnacentral:lncRNA from 1 species